UAAAUGUGGAGUCUAGACCAAGUAUUGUGACAAUGAAGUGAAGUAGGAAGUUUUGGCUGAACUUGGUAGAAUAUUUAAGCUGUUUUCCCCCCUUACUUUGAGAUAAGCACAACAGAUGAUGUUACCAAAGGUUAACUAUUUCUUAAAUGUAGAUGGCAGAGGCAGCGCUGGUAAUUUUCAGGAUUUUAUAAUGAGGGGGGACAUGUCUUAAUGUUAUAGUGCGUAAGAUAUACAAAGCCAUCUGUCUGCAGUUAUUUGCAUAUGUGCAGAACGCCUGUCUUGAGGUAGGAAGUGAGAAUGUUCAAUCAGAAAGGUCCCUGUCGUUCACUUUCACAUUAACAAAGUACUGCAGUCGGGUUAUUUCUUUGUGCAGAGUAAAGCUAAUUAGAAAAAUGCCUAGGUUGUUUCAAAAGUAAUAAACACAAGAGAAAGUGAGACGUUUGUAUUAAGUGGAGAAAUGAGUCAUAAUUUUUAUUAAAUGAAGCUGUUAGAACAGUGUCCAAAGUUGUCCUGAAUCUUGUCAAUUUUUACAAGAAGUAAACCCCCCCCCC
rnacentral:lncRNA from 1 species